UCUUAGCCUAUAAUGCCUGCCUUCCUCUGAACUCUCAUGACACACAGUCUCAGCAGAUGCAACCUGCACACAAGGGCCUUGGCUGCUGGGCUUUUGUGAUAAGCCAGGUAGUGCAUAAGUUUGUUUGAGCAUGGUGGUAGGAGGAUUCCACACAUGGACUACACCUGAAUAUGAGCAAAUGAGGGUGUCUGCUGCUUUGGGCUUGGAUAUGCACGGUGUCUUUUCACAGUGUAUUCUGCAAGAACAUUGUGAGAUCAUGUCAGUGAGUGGCAUAUUGAAUCUUCUGGAACAACUAAUUCUACCACAAACCAGGUUAUCAUGAUGUAUAAUAGGAUUUUAGACUGCUAAAUUUGGACUGCAGGACUUUUGAUUCUGAAACCUACUAGAAGUCCACAUGGUUUUUCAGAAGUCCAGAACUCAAGCGAAAUACGAGCAGCAGCCAUUGGGAAGGUUGUUUAGGGAGUUAUUCGCACAUGGCUACAAAAAUACGACUGGGAUUUAACACUAUGUCUAUUUUCUAUUGAUAAAAAUUUAGAACAUUUAAUUCAUAUUAGAUUUUUUUAACAACAAAAAAGUUCACAAAGCAGUUUAAACAGCAAAAGGAAUAAGAAGAUGGUUCCUUGUCCCAAAAGGAUGCACAAUCUAAAAAGAAACUCAAGCAAAAUACCAGCAACAGCCAUUGGGAAGGAUGUUCAGGGAAUUAUUCACACAUGGCUUCAUGCUGAGGGGUAAAUGUUGAGCGAAACCACUUUGAAUCACACUCGCGGCAUUGAGGGAAGGAGCCCCUCCUCUCUGCUCUUGGGUUUCGUUUUGAUGCAAGUUCACAUGGCAUGCUUCCAUUUUUUCCUUCUAGUCAAUGGGGAGGGAGAGAGAGCGGGGGAGCUUUCUAAAGAGCUAUAUCUGCAUUUCUAAAUCUGCAUCCCUCAUCAUGCUAAUGAUUCUACGUCAGUGCCUUUAUCUAUUUGCUCUGGCAUUUUCAGAAAAAGUAGCUUAAAAACAACAUUUUUAAAACCCGGAAAUACACUGAGAUAAGCUAGAAUUCGCAAGACAAAGCCCAAUUUGUGUGUGGAGUGGGUCCAAAGAUCUCGAAGGGACUUCGGGGUAAGUUUGGCUGGAGUGUGAACGCACAUACUCUCUUCCGAAGGAGAUUUGGGGUAACAGCCCUGUCUGUAAAGCCUCCUGCUGUGUUAAAUAAGGACAGUUGCCUUAGAAGUCACUACCUUUUAAAGGCGUCUUUUAGCUCAGUUAGCAGGGGUGGCUGGGGUGACAUGUAGAUGACGAAUACAUGAAUUUGAUAAACAAGGCUGGUUAAUGUGGUUUCUGGAGUCUAGAAAAGCUGCAUACCAGGUAUCCAUUUAUUAAUCUCUAGGUUCUUUGUUUCAUAGAAUGUGAUUAGUAUAUUAUGCCAUUUUCUCCCUUUGAAACUGUGUUUCCUUGAAAGUUCCUAAUGAUUGUGUUUUAUUCAGUCAUCAGGACAAUUUAAACAAAAACAAAAACAAAAACAAAUGGCACAGGGCAAAGGGUGAUGGCUUCUCUGCCAAUGCCAUUGUCCUGAUCUGAUUGUCUCCUGGGGCUGCUAUUAAAAAAUUUUAAAACCCAGAAGAGAUCUUGAUUGUGGAGCUCUUGUGCACAUUGAGUUGAACAUGGACAAUAUCUCAAGCUGCACAGAUUGCAGAAAUGUGCAUGGCAGCUCUGUGGCAAUGAUACAAAUAAAUUACAAAAUGGCAUAACUUAUUUCAGUUACAGAUUUAUUGUCUACAUUAAAUCAUGAAGUGAACCUAUUUUUGAUUCCCAAAUGGCAAACUGUAGUUUAAUCUAGUUUGCAAAUGCUUGGCUGUGUUUUUCAAAGGCAGAUGACCUUGUAGAAAUCACCUGUCAUGUGCAGUUAAAUUGCAGAGAAAAAUUAUGACGACUCGAUGCUGAUUUUAUUGUACCUAUGCAUGCCAAACACAUUUGACAUGGAUAUUAGAUUUGCAGGGAAUGGAGCACUCUUAGCUCCACUGCUGUCAACCCUUAUUUAUAAUAACUAGUCUGUUAGCUGUAGGAAUAAAAGCUGGAUGCAAACUCUUCAGAGCAGAUUACUCAGUGAACUAGACAGCUUUCACUUAUGGUAACUGGGCACAUUCCGACUGCUUGUGAAAUCUUAACAGAGAUUGCUGGUGUUAGUCAGGGAUGUAAGGGAGGGAGUUUCUCAACACUCUCCUCCUCCUGUCUGGGUCCUCACUCAGCUUUAGCUGCUUUGUACUCCUUGUGCUGCCUCAAGGAGCUGGCUUCAGAGCUUUUCGUUCCUAGGAUGGUAGAUCUUGACCCCGUCCCCUUUGCCAUGGGAGUUCAGAGGAAGGCAGCCAUCAGAGGACAAGACUUCUUUAUUGUGUUACAGGAAGAGACAAGUUCAACAAGAAGUGCAGGCAGGAAGUAGGAAGGGACUCUGCCUCCAAUUAGGAUCACUACUAGCAAAUGCUAGUGCUCCCUACUGGCUGGACAUAUUACAACAACAUUUCCACGUACCCUUUAUCCUCCAUUUUCUGUUUCCCUGUCCUGUUUUCCCAACCCCCUUUGCCUACUUUUGCUCUCCCCUGUAACCCCUUUCUUUUUCCUCUUUACUCAGCUGCAGCUUAUGAUCCAGGGGAGGAGGCGAUGGAUGCCUCACUGCUAGCAUUGAGUAGUGUUGCAUGCUUGCCAGCUCCCAGAUUUAAAAGUAGAUUGACUGAAUCAGUUUAACAGCCUGGAAGCAGACAGAAGAAAAUCUGAAUUUAAUUAUAGUGCUUUAUGUUUUGUUAGUUGUAUGUAAACUUAGUUCAUGUAAAUGUAAGGUAUUCUUAUUAAAGAGGAAACAACAGCAAUGGCUGGCAUUCUGAUUAAUGGUAAGUGCAAUCUUUUUUAGGUGUGCAAUUCAGGACGGGUAAUUUCCCCUUACUCUGCAGUCAAUCAGGCUUCCCUUACUUUGCAGUCCACUGCUCCUUCCAAAAACAUGUCUCUGAGGGUCCCACAACUGGGCUCUAGAUGUAAGGGGAGAUCAGUGACAGGCAGCUGAGCUGUUGGCAGCAGUCAGGGGCAUAAGUUCUGGCCAGGACUGGGAAAGCCAGGAACUUACUAGGGGCUACUCUAGAUAAGCAGCUGGUUGCCAGGAAGAUCAAGACAGGAGCCACAAGCUAGUAACACACCAGAGUCAAAUCAGAGGGUCAUCAGGAGCCUGGAACACGCCAAACAAGAACAGUGCAAGAGGAACUUGAUACUGAGGCAAGGAUUGCUUCAUAUAUGCUUCCUAUUCAUAGAAAAGCCAAUCACAGAUCUCACAGGCUGGGACCAGCAUAGAGCCUGGAACUCAAAUACUGCUGCAGUGCCACAAUUCGCCACAAGCACCGUGGUGAGCAGAGCCCCAGCCUCAGGAAACUCUGGCAAUAGGUGAAAUGAAAAUCACCCCUCCUCUGAUGUGCACGCAAAACAUUUUUGUGCAUGUACAAUGUUAGUCUGGAUGUCAGCAGUGAUACUGUUUUUGAAGAUGCUUUUACAUAUGGUGAUACAAUGGCAUACAGUGAAUCUGUGGCAUACUGUGAAUCUAUGGCAUACACUGAAUCUAUACAAAACAUUUGUUUUUGUGAAUUCUUUAAAAUUAAAAAGGAAUUUUGAUUACUUUUAUUAGGAGGGUCCACUAUUUGAGAAUGUGGGCUGUUGACAAUGCCUAACUCCCAAGUCCCACAUAUGAUUAUUUCAGACAAACCUUUCCUUUUCCUUUUCUAGCAAUAGAAAACACACAUACAUUCUCUUGACUAUCAGAAUUGUCCAAGCAAGGUUUGUUUCAUCAGCCCAGUCUGAUUCUAGCAGAAAUGUGGGUCUGACUAUACAAGCUUCCACUGCACAUAGAAAGGCCUGAAAAUUGCCUUUUGUUAAUCACAGUGCUUGAGAAAUCUAGCCAUUGAAUUCUGCACAAAUCAGCUAUAAGACUCUUUGCUGUAACCUAUUCUGUACUACCCAUUUAUAUUUCUAUAGCACUUAGAUGUCAGGGCUAUAUUGUGCCAAGUAUUACACAGACAAAAAUGGCAAGCUUGAGGAUUUAACUGAAAAAUAAGCACAGCAGGUGAAUGCCAGAAGUGUACUGGGACUGACAAGCUAAAACUGGAAUUAAGAAAAUAGGAUGUAUGUGUGUGGUGGGUGGGGGAGAGAAACAUCAAACUACAUGACUUAAGUAAUUAAAAGUCCCCAUGCCUGGAGAAACAUGCAAUUGAAAUUAGCCAAUAAAGUGCAGAUGUGUGCUGGUACAGAACCUGCAACCACGUAAUUAGUCUAAUCAGCCCAGUGGCUGAUGCUGAUGUCUAUCUUGUGCUUCUUUUUAGACUGUGAGCCUUUUGGGGACGGAACCAUUUUCUUCUUACUCUUUUCUAUGUAAACUGCUUUGAAAACUUUUUUGUUGUUAAAAAGCAGUAUACAAUUAUUAUUAUUAUUAUUAGUAGUAGUAGUAGUAGUAAUAGUAGGUGUUGGGAUUUUGUUUUUGUUUAGACUAUAAAGAAGUUAGCAUGUUAAAGAAAGCAUACCUCCCCAAUUCCAUUUUUAGAAGAAUAGUUUGUCAUCUUCCAGAUUAUGUAGAAUAUGCUUCAAGUAAACUAGAUUCUAGUCCACUGUUAACUCUUUAUUGGCAGAUUCAAGUUUAUGUGUUGAAUUGUAAUAAUACCUCUUCUUGUUGUACUUUA